GACGAACGCUGGCGGCGUGCCUAAUACAUGCAAGUCGAACGCUUCUUUCCUCCCGAGUGCUUGCACUCAAUUGGAAAGAGGAGUGGCGGACGGGUGAGUAACACGUGGGUAACCUACCCAUCAGAGGGGGAAAAACCUUGGAACAGGGGCCAAAUACCGAUAAACAUUUUUUCCCGCAGGCAUAAAGAUUAAAGGGCCCUUUCGGGGGCGGUGGAGGGUGGACCCCGCGGUGAAUUGGCUAGUUGGUGAGGUAACGGCUCACCAAGGCAACGAUGCAUAGCCGACCUGAGAGGGUGAUCGGCCACACUGGGACUGAGACACGGCCCAGACUCCUACGGGAGGCAGCAGUAGGGAAUCUUCGGCAAUGGACGAAAGUCUGACCGAGCAACGCCGCGUGAGUGAAGAAGGUUUUCGGAUCGUAAAACUCUGUUGUUAGAGAAGAACAAGGACGUUAGUAACUGAACGUCCCCUGACGGUAUCUAACCAGAAAGCCACGGCUAACUACGU
rnacentral:rRNA from 1 species